AGAACCCCCCCACACACACACACACACACAAACCUCUCUGCAAAUCGUUGCAAUCUUCCCUUCCUCUUGGGUGUUUGUUCAGAACUGAUGGGAGGAUCCCUGCUGCAGCUCCCGGCCCAGAACAGCUGGGGAACACGCUGCUGCUGCAGCCAGCAACCAGGGCUAGAAUUCAGCCGCAAGAACUCGGGGAGCUCCCCACUUCCACUCAGCCUGACCUCCCAGCGUGAGAGAGACCUAAAUCUUGAACGACACCGGAGCGCUUUCAUUCCGUCUGACUCCACUAGCAUCGUGAGAUGUACGCAAGCGCCUUCUUAAACUACUGGGGGCUCUCUCCUUCGGUCUAACCCCCCCCCCCCAUUGCAACAGGUACCCCAGGCUCCCUCUUGAACUGCCAGACAGGCUCAUCCCUGUUCAAUUCCAGCAGAACCUAGCUUGAAGAUCCCCACCCGGAGGUCUGAGAUACCAUUGGAUUACAUGUUUUCUCUGGGGAGUGGUGGGAGAAGGUGUUCCCCCUACGAACAGCUAGCCAGCAGGGCAAGGGCCAGCCAUGGUGCGCUGCAGAAAGAGUUGCCUAAAUAAGAGAUAACGCCAGGCCUCGCACAAUCUACCUGCUUCCAGAGCUGCCAACAAGUGACAGAGCAGCUGUGACUGUUUCUUCCCCCUCACUCUCUCUUCCGCCAACCAGGGAAUAGCACUGAUGGGGUCUUGAGGGAGUUCUGGCAAGAACCCCCUCCCCAUGUCCUCUUGUUCCCUGCAUGAUGUCUGUCUGAUUAUUGUAAGGGCUGUGUAACUUGAGGGGCGCUUCGGAAAAGAGAAACAAGAUUUCAGAAGAGCUGCACAUUGUGAAGUGCCACAUCUGGGCCCGAGAAAGAAGCACUGACUGGUGGGAUCACAUCGUAAUGCAGGAUUGGGAUGAUGAGUUGUGGCUGCAGGAUUUUCGGAUGCACAAGGCCACAUUCCUGGAUCUGUGUGCAGAACUCGCUCCAGCCCUCCAGCGCUGGAGCACCAAAGUGAGAGCUGCACUGACAGUGAGUGGUGAUUGCACUGUGGAAACAUCGGUAGCAAUCCACUGUUGCGUCAGUAGGAAAUCAUUUUGGACUUGGGAAAUCCUCUGUGGGGGCCGUUGUCAUGUAAGUGUACAGAGCUAUUAAUCUUCUCCUGCUGCGCAGGACUGUGACUCUGAGCAAUGUGCAGGAACAUAGUGGGUGAAUUUGCAACAAUGGGGUUUCUGAACUGUGGUGGAGUACACAAGUGCCGGCUU